rnacentral:lncRNA from 1 species
CUGGACAUUCCCAAGCCAUGUCAGCCUCCCAACCUGUGCGGCCGGGAGGAAUUUGUCACCUUUGGUGGAUGCACACCCUGGAGGUCUGCUGGGCACGGAGCUCCAGUGUAGCAACCAAGCCAGCAUCACAAUGUGUUGUGUUGCGUGGAGAUAGCAACAGAAUCUGUACAGUGCUGAUGUAGCCACAUUAAUAGAUUCACAUAUAGACUAAAGUACAACUGCUGCCCAUGGCAGCCCUCAGGCAAAAGCUCCAGAAGAGCACAAAGGCCUUGAAGGUUAAGCUUGAGAUCUGUCAGUCUGGGAUAUGAAGCACGCUGCUGAGUUAAAGGUCUUCCACUUGCAACAUCUUGCGGUCUGACCCUGGACACUCAAAUUGGUAGCAGGAACCUAUCACAUCAUUGUCAGUGAUCUAGGGGAAUAGAAUUUAUCUUACCCAUAGCUAAAAAAUCAGAAGUGUAAGAGAAAAAUUCAGUAGACUUGCAAAAAGGAAGGGAGAGUUACAGUGGAUAACUGGAUGAACAUGUUCUUGAGGUGCAAAAAGCAAACAAAAUAUUUGCCUGUAAAUUCUAAGUAAAUGCCUAGAAGACUUGGCAUCACAAAGUUUGUUGAGUACUACUUUGUUGUUCUUGUUAUAUCAUAUCAGAAAGACAAAGUAAAAGCCACAAGGUAAUUAGGGUCUGUUGGAAGGAGGUGGUGGUUGCAGAGAUCAGUCUAAGUAGCUUACUUAGUUAAAGGAUAGGAUACGAUUUUAUCACAGUAUGUACCUUUGGGCAGGAGAUUACAUAAAGAGGAGGAAUGUUUACAUGAUGGAACAAAGAUCUGAGAAGAUGCAAGUUUUAACACUAAGAAUUCUUUGAAAUAAGCAUCAAGAAAUGAGUCCGAUUUUCUGCAACUUCAAAUUUUGAAGAGAAGAUUAGAUAGCAUUUUAAAGCAGGCAUCAUAGCUUCUUUGGAAUUUGUGGGUUUGAUGCAAGAAUUGUUAGGCAAAAUUUCAUGUUCUACAUUAAUGCAAGUCAAAUAAGACAAUGAAAACUAGGAAGAUGUUGUGUUAAGACUGCUUCCACCUUUCCCCACUAAUUCCAGUCAGUCUGAUGUAUAUUCUGUUUUACCAG